GGAAGGACAGUGAGAAUUGCCCAUCAGCCCUUUUGUUAAAUAACCCUGGUAUUCCACGAGGAAGCGCCGUGCACGACACCGUGUGCGCCCUUCGCGAGAGCAGCCCCGUCGCUUCGAUGGCUCCGGACAGCCUCCGCGUCCUCUCGGCUCGCAAAAUAACAUAAAUGGUUCCAAGUGUAUGCGCCUUUUAAACGUGCGGCUUGUUUUUAUUUUAUUAUUAUUUUUGUACCCUUCAUUUGAAUGUUCAUUUUAUUUUUAUUUUUUUAAACGUGGAACUCAUAAGGCUGCAUCAACGGCACAUCACAUACUGUAGGCAACACCUGCACCGAAGACCGAGCAACCUUCGCCUGAACCGAGACCGAGGCAUCACAGCGUCUCACGUCUCACACCUAAAAAGGUCCAGGAUGGUGGUCGUGGCUGUGUCCAGAGGCAGGGUGUGUCUCUGCGUCUCCCUGCUCCUCACGCUGACGCUGGGCUUCAGUUCCGGGGACCCCAGGUGAGGGUGCUCAGGCUGACCCUCCCCCCCACCCGGGAUUGGCUGGGGGGCGACGCCCUCCUGCCCUGCUCCUCCC